AACACAUCAAAAUAACACACACACACACACUCUCUCUAAUUACACACAUGCAUAUACAGUUUAUCAGUAAACACUUUACUAAAACUGAUUACUAGUAAUUAAGUGGGGAAAAAAAUCAUAAUGUAACAGUUAUUUAAGCAAGUGACAUUAUCCAGGUUUAUCUUAUGAUUUGUAUACCUUGUUUCAAUAUUUCAAUGAAUUGCUGUUUGCGAUCACUAUAAUUGUUAUAGCAAUAUCUGCCACACUGUAAUAUGGUUUUAAGAAAGAAA